rnacentral:piRNA from 4 species
UGGUUAGGAUUCGGCGCUCUCACC